rnacentral:misc_RNA from 1 species
AUGAUAAGAUGCUAUUAUUGAACCAAUUAUAACUGGUUGGUUGAGAGAAUCCAAUUCCAAUAAUUAUGUUGAGAGAAUCCAACUCCAAUAUCGAUAUAGAAAUUGGAUCUAAAGAGUACCUUGAAUUGUUAGACUGCUAUUGAAUUAACUGAAUUUCAAGUCCAACAAUUUUAAUUUUUUCAAGUUGCCUAGUUUUGUAUCACGUAAUUAAUAGUAUUAAAAGUUGAACUUUAGAAAGGAAA